AUGCAGUCUUGUCAUAAGGCCUGUAAUCAUUUCCUGUAAGGUGAAAAAGUGGAUUGAGAGACACCGGUUGAGUUGGAGAAGAAAGGACUGAAUUAUGUGUUUUCAGAAAGAAUGUUCUGGAUUCUUGGCAUCAAGAAACAGGAUGACCCACACACAGAUGCACUUUCCCGAGUAGCCAUAGAAUAUAAACUAUAGCAAAACAACUUCAAUGUGUCAGGGAAAAAGGCAGCAAGAUCUCAGCCUUUCGAAGUUGGAAUUACCAAUGUACUUUAUGGUCACAUAUAUCAUCGUAUGGAGCUGAUCCCAUGAGAGUAUCAUUUGAUAGAAGAACAAAGCAAGUCAGGACGAGCUUAACUAAUCUCCCCAUUUGUCACAGAGCCUUGCUUCUCUCCCUCUGAGGCCAUGUUUGAAUUGGAAUAUUGCUAAUUUCCCACAAGUUGAGGAUUCAUGCAACAAAAUUGUCUCUUUGUUAGCUGUACUUGUGGUUCUGAGGUGGCUACUGCAGUUUUAGGAAUUUCUUGGAGAUUUUUUCUUAAAUCCAGUAGUUAAAGUAGAGUGUUUGUUUUUCUUAAUAUUGCUUGCCUAUAUUGUUAAGUUAUAAGAAUAUGGGUACAUUUAUGAUAUAGAACCUACCUGGAAAUAUAUACAUACAUCAUCAAAUGUAAAUAGUUGCUUAUCUUAUUAUUAUACCAUUUCCUCAUUCCUCAUUCUUCUGCGAGAACAUUUAAUAUCUAUUCUAAGUGUAUAUGAAAUAAUGCUUCUUACUUCUGACAACCAGGAAUAUAUUACUCCAAAGUGAUCUGGAAAACGUGCUAUUUGAGUUUUUUUCUUGAACUGUCUAUAGUUGGUCCUUUCUCAUGAACAUUUAAGUAGAAUGGUGCACUUCAGCUGGUUUAGGUGAGUCAAGCUUAGAAGUCUAUCAUAAUCAUGACCACUAAGGAGGGUGGCCCAGGAAGACGUCGGUUUAUUAUCCAUCGAAAGGCAUCACAUAUGUCCUAGUAUGACUGCACUGCUGCUCAAAAAUACAGUUAGCAUCAUGUAAAUACUCUCAGAUAAAUUCCAAUGGUCCAACAAUCUUAAUAUUUUUGUUCUCAUACUGUUUACCACUAAACGCAGCAGGAAACUUCCAUUGACUUAGCUACAAAUCAAGUAGGAAUUCUAAUUAUUAUUACUUUUAUUGAUAAAUUCAGAAGUGGCCACACUGGUUUGGCUUUAUUGCUUCUGGCAGAGUAUACUCUUACACAGUCACUGGAGGUAACACAAGCAUCUUUUCUCUCCAGAAGGUGAAUUCAUUGUCCAGGUGGCCUAAGGGCUUUGGACUAAACCCAUACUCCUGUGUGUGCAGAAAUUUAAACUCUUACUUGGCCACUAUUCUAAGUCAGGACAUUUUCCCCAAAUCAAUGACAUAUUUUAUUAACAUCACAUGUGAGCUACUGUAGGCUCUUAAAAUACACAGUUCCGAAGUUGUUAGGUAAAAUAGCAGUGU
rnacentral:sRNA from 1 species